rnacentral:rRNA from 1 species
GGCUAACUCCGUGCCAGCAGCCGCGGUAAUACGGAGGGUGCGAGCGUUAAUCGGAAUUACUGGGCGUAAAGCGCAUGCAGGUGGUUUGUUAAGUCAGAUGUGAAAGCCCGGGGCUCAACCUCGGAAUAGCAUUUGAAACUGGCAGACUAGAGUACUGUAGAGGGGGGUAGGAAUUUCAGGUGUAGCGGUGAAAUGCGUAGAGAUCUGAAGGAAUACCGGUGGCGAAGGCGGCCCCCUCGGACAGAUACUGACACUCAGAUGCGAAAAGCGUGGGGAGCAAACAGGAUUAGAUACCCUGGUAG